CACCAUAACAAUGUAAACAUGUUUGAGCUAAUGAUUUCAUGGAAACAAAUAUUCUGACUGAUUUUCAUUAAGACUGGACUCUUAAUUAUUAUGUUGCACUUGCACAUAAAGAAUAACUUACAUAAAGUGUUCAUUUUAAAGUAUAUUUUAAUUGUCAUGCAUUAUUUCAGGAUGUUGUAAGAAAAAAAUGUUGCUGGGAUAUACCCUGAGAGUCAGGGAGACCAGAAAGGAUUGUACAAAGGUCUCAACUGUUGCAGAUGAAAGCCAAAGAGAGAUGACUUUGUUCCAGGGUGACAGUUCAAUUCAUGGCAAAACUAACUUGCAACAACUUGUAUAGUACCCAGAAAAGUAUUAUUGUUUACAAUAUAAAGUGGUUUAUAUUUGCGGCAGUUCCCUUACCAAUGGUUACAGAGGGGAAAGAUUUAUACAAAUACUUUUCAGUAAUUCAAUAACGUUUCGGUAUAUUUACUUUCCUUUGUUUUUUGUAUAAUUUAAUCAGCCUUGUUUUUGACCACAACCAAUUGGGAAAUAACUAAUUAUAAAACCUUUUUUAUUUUUUAUUUUAUUGCUUGUUCUACGUACUCGUAUUUAAUUUUACAUCAGCACAUAGUUAAGUUAACUGGUACCUUUACUGCGUUGGAAAUACGUUUACCGGCUGCAGCACACCGACUUCUACCAUUCCCUACAUGCCCUUCUGACCGGGCUAGAGGAAAUACCACCACUUGAUUUCGAUUGUGCUGGUUCUAUCACAUUUCAUCAUACAGAAGACUUGGCUGCUGAUGACCCAACCCAAGAGUUUCCACUGAUAAACACAUGUAGUUUUGAACUGCGACUACCAAUUCUGGACACAUACAAUAUGUUUGUGGAGAGAUUUUCUGCUGCUAUGUCAGUGGAUAGGUUUACUCUGUAUUUAGCAAGUGAGCAGCAAUUACCAGAUUGUCAUUUAAGGGUGCAUUUGUUAUAAAUUCCAUACUCCGUAACAAAUGUAUCAAAUUCUGUUUAUAGUUUUACAUCAUUUUGUUACACUGCAAUGUUCAUGGACAAGUGUUUUGACAAACCAAUAGUGUUACUUUUUUUGCAGCAUUUAUUUAUCUAAAGCUUUUGCUAAGCUUUUAAUUUUACAUUUUAUACAAAAUUAAUUUAAUAUGCCGCAUCCCGAUACCGGCUGUUAGUUAUGCCUGAGUCACAGGUAGUUAUUCCCCUUGAAUUCUCUUCAAUGUAAAGGUACGUGGUGUAAAUAAAGAUCAAUUUUCUUUUUUUUUUGAGCUACUACAAUGGUUAUGUAGGGCUUUACAGGGACAGACCCCUUUCAAAGUGCUACAGGACAAAGAGUGGAAGUAUAUAUGUAUUUGCCCAAAGGGUGGUUCAGCCAGAAGUGCAAAUGGCAAGUUUGAUGCACCUCUUUCGGAAGACCAGGCAAGGAGGCUACCCGGAGUGGGCAGGAAUCAUCUACUACCAGAUGAUGGUGUACCAGGGGCCAUCAUCGUGUACGCCAACUACUACCGGUGGAAGAAGGAAGAAGUAGACGUCUUCAAAGAGAUGCUAUUCAGAGGGUAAAUUAUUCUGAAAUUAAACUGGAACAGAGGAGACAUUUGAGGAUCUUGUAGAUGCUGCCUCUUACAAUCUGGGUGAUUCUUGGAUCAUGCUGAAGGGUGGUAAACUAUUGAGUAUAGAUAGAGAAAACUUCAAGAAGGUGUUCAGUAACAACAUCUUUAAAGAAGGUGUAAAAGUUAAAGGAAUGCGAAAAGUGUCCAAGGUGAUGGAAUGUAGUUCGUUCCAAUUUAAUGAGGAACUUGAAAAGGAUUUUCGAAAACCAAAAGUUGUGACUGUUGUAGAAGCCCUGGGGUUCCCAGUCAAGUGACGCAUCUCUAUAGAGAGUACACUGAUGCAAGUAACUAAUACUGUAAAACUACAUAUGAUUUCCCAAGUUGGUGGCUUUCACAUUCAGUGUAAAUGCUUAAACAUAAAUUGACAUGAAAAUGUACUUAUUACAUUAAAGCACUAUAGAAGAGACUAAAAUGCACUUACUUUAAUAAUUGAGAAAAUGCAGGCUGUUGGGAAACGUGAAUUUUCAUAUUCAUGAACAUAUAUUGAGCUACAGACUAAAACAAAUAGUAACAGAAUACCAGGACAAAAUAAAUAAGACUGGACAAGUCUUGUAGAUACAAAUGCUACUUUUAUACAAUUUAGUGAAUAUUUACAUAUAUUUCUAUGUCUAAAAAAAUAAGUUUCAAAAGAAUUUUUGUUCAUUUGUUUAAAUAUAUGUAGGUUUUAAGUAAAUUAUUAUUUUACAGGUUGAUGACGUUGCAGAUGGAAUCAAUUAUAAAAGGCGCAGAACUGAGCUGCAAGAGGGAACAUCCAAAAUUUCCCUGAAAUUGUGGGGCAAGGAGAGCGAACAGUCAAUCCCACAGAUUGGGAGCACUGAACGUGUAACAGCUGUGUAUGUGUUUGAAUAUAAUGGGAUCAAGGAAUUAAACUCCAGCAAUGACACAUCAAUUGAGGUACAGAAGCAUUUAUAAAUAUUUCUUUAUAGUAUAUAACAUAGCAUUGUGAUUGGGAAAAAGCCUUUGAACGGAAAUAUCAUACAGAAUAAUACACAUUUUGAAUCUUGCCUGCGACAAUAAUUCUUAUAACUUCUAUAUUGUAAUUCGAAUGAAAUUUUCAUGCUUAACUCAAUAGUUGGAUUUUUUUGGCCUGAAUUAUUGGCUUUCAUUAACUGUAAAGAUAAGACUACCCUGUAGCUUUUACACUUGAUCACUUGAUGGGAAUUAUCUGCAAGCAAUUUUUGGCUUAAGGCCUCAACAGACGGUAGGUUCUAGUUGUACAACACCAAUUAUCUCAUAGUGUACAAUUUUAAAUUGUACAUUUUUCACAUUCAGACAG
rnacentral:lncRNA from 1 species